rnacentral:rRNA from 1 species
GAUGAACGCUAGCGAUAGGCUUAACACAUGCAAGUCGAGGGGCAGCAUGAACAAAGCUUGCUUUGUUUGAUGGCGACCGGCGCACGGGUGCGUAACACGUAUACAACUUACCCAUAAAUCGGGGAUAACCCGGAGAAAUUCGGACUAAUACCCGAUGGUAUUAAGAGAAGGCAUCUUCCUUUAAUUAAAGAUUUAUCGAUUAUGGAUAGGCAUGCGCAUGAUUAGCUAGUUGGUGAGGUAACGGCUCACCAAGGCGACGAUCAUUAGGGGUUCUGAGAGGAAGGUCCCCCACACUGGUACUGAGACACUGACCAGACUCCUACGGGAGGCAGCAGUGAGGAAUAUUGGUCAAUGGUCGGAAGACUGAACCAGCCAAGUAGCGUGAAGGAUGAAGGUUCAAUGGAUUGUAAACUUCUUUUAUACGGGAAUAAAACCUCCCACGUGUGGGAGCUUGUAUGUACCGUAUGAAUAAGCAUCGGCUAACUCCGUGCCAGCCGCCGCAGUAAUAC